rnacentral:rRNA from 1 species
UGGGGAAUAUUGGACAAUGGGGGCAACCCUGAUCCAGCCAUGCCGCGUGUGUGAAGAAGGCCUUUUGGUUGUAAAGCACUUUAAGCAGUGAAGAAGACUCCAUGGUUAAUACCCAUGGACGAUGACAUUAGCUGCAGAAUAAGCACCGGCUAACUCUGUGCCAGCAGCCGCGGUAAUACAGAGGGUGCAAGCGUUAAUCGGAAUUACUGGGCGUAAAGCGGGCGUAGGUUGCUUGAUAAGUCAGAUGUGAAAGCCCCGUGCUUAACCUGGGAACGGCAUCUGAUACUGUUAGGCUAGAGUAGGUGAGAGGAAGGUAGAAUUCCAGGUGUAGCGGUGAAAUGCGUAGAGAUCUGGAGGAAUACCGAUGGCGAAGGCAGCCUUCUGGCAUCAUACUGACACUGAGGUUCGAAAGCGUGGGUAGCAAACA